UGUAAAGGUGGUGUGUGUGUGUGUGUGUGUGCCGAGGGAUGCUAACAAGAUAUAACCUUUUGCCCCUUGACAUCUGCUGCAAAAGAUAAGAUAAAGGUCGACAGCCGCCCUUAUACGCUGGCUGAACUAUGAUGCAAUGAAUAUUGAUUGAUGACAGCUAAUGCCAGCGGGCUGGAAAAGUGGCACUCUGGGCCACCUUCCCCUGGACAAGCCACGCUGCAAGGUGGAGGCAGCGGAGGAGGACGACCAAACACAGAAACGACAAGGAGGCGUAGACGAGAGGGCUACUGAAAGGAACAGUUUGAUUACGCAUGUGAUUACAGAGUGGAUUCUCCUGUCAGAAGCGCAACAUAGUUUCCAAUAAAAAAAAGUCCUUGUGAAAGAAUUACAAAUAGAUUACGAAGUUUUCACCUUUCUCUUGUAUUUUAAGAAUGUUCUAUUCUAAACAUCUAUAACGGUGUAUGUGUGUAAGUGGAGGGAGCUGCACGUUAGACACUUUUGUAAUACAACAAAUUACGUUUAAUGAUUACUAAUUAGCUGAACUAUUUAGCCGAAAAUCUAGUUUUUAGUACUACGGUAGGUACAGAAUAUAAAUACAAAUAGACAAUAAAUAAUGUAUAUAAGUUUACUGCAUUAACUAGAAAAGCACAGUUAGUCACUAUAAUAAGAGACCCAUAAAUCAGUCCAAUUUUAUUAUUACAUUACCAUCUCAUGUUUGUUCAAGGUGCAACUGUGACGCCCUGGCUGAAGUGACAUAAGCGAUGUCUCCUCUUAUUGGUCAUUUAGAUCAACUAUCAAGACAAGACCCUCAGACUUGAUGAACACGAUCAUGGGGUUCCUCUUCUCCACUUUUAUCAAUGAAACGUCCCUGUGCAAGUGGGUCAACACGCAAGCUGUCCCUUCACUCAACAUCAUGGACUGUGAUUCUUGAAAUGUAUUUUUUGUUUACGACUGUAAGUCGCCCUGGAUAAGAGCGUCUGCUAAGAAAUAAAUAAUAAUAAUCAUCAUGCAUGUACAUGU